rnacentral:lncRNA from 1 species
UUACAAGAGAUACAAAAGCAAAAAUACCCCUGCAGACUGCACGAAAAAUACCCCCUUGUACCGGUACACGGGCUCUUGUACCGGUACAAGCUGUCACGCCCCGGGGUCCCUUUUUGUUUGAACACAGCGGAAAAAGCGUCUAACUUUUUUUUUUGAAAAUUUGACCCCAGAGUAUGCCAAAUCCGCCACAAAUAUAGGGAUUCCACUGUUCACACGGAUAGAGUCUCCCAUGUAUUUGCACGGCGUCGCACAAGUACAACAGUACAAACAGGAUACAACCACAACUAAAUGAAUAUAGAAAUAAUUAUUCAUUCAUACAUUCAUACAUUCACCAUUCAUAUCACAGAUUUGCAUUUAAUAUUUAAACAUAAAUCCACAGAAAAUUCUUUUGAAAACUGUUUCCUACAUAGAAACCUUCAUUCUUUAAAAACGCUACCACGAGGGGUAGAA